rnacentral:piRNA from 1 species
UAAAAACCAAGGGAAACCUGGUCUCUGC